UCCCUGGCAGUCCAGUGGUUAGGACUGGCGCUUUCACUGCAGCUGCCCAGGUUCAAUUCCUGGCCAGGGAA
rnacentral:tRNA from 1 species